ACAAUUGGAUUAACAAGAAUUGGAAGGGACCUUGGAGGUCUCUAGUCCAACAUCCCUCCCUGCUCAGGUAGGAGAUCCUAUACU